rnacentral:lncRNA from 1 species
AUGAGGCGGCUCGGUCCGUGCGGUUCCCAGCUCCCGCAGCGGGCCGAGGAGCCCUGCCAGGGUUUUCUGGUGGCUGCGGAUGCGUGCUGCCCUCGUCUCGGCCCCAAAUUGCAGCGGGUGGCUGCUGUGAGGCCCAGUUGCGUCCCCCAAACGCACCACAACGCGGCAACAUGGAUGGGAUUUGUGCAGAGGAAUUUAAAGAAACAAAGAGAAAUGGAAACAAGACAAAAUAGAUGCAGCGUUCAGCCCCAAACAGAUGGGAACCUGUCAGCACAACAUGGAGAUAAUUAUCCAUUCGAGCCAUGGGAAGCUUCAUGGCUGAGAGGAAGUUAUUGCAGCCAAUACAGCUCUGCUUUAUCAUCUUAGCAGGUUUUUUUUGGACAGAGCACGUUGGUGAGUUCCAUUAUUCCUUUGAAGAAACACCAAGAACAUCCUUGUUUCCAUAGGGGGUGCAUUGGUGAUGUAGGAAAUUGUUCUUCUGUGGGUGUUUGGGUGGCAUUUCAGGAAACGCUCCAUUAUGGCAGUGCAGUGCUGGGAGGUUCUUGUCCUCCCUCUGGAAAUGAGAAACAGAACCCAUUUGCUGGUAAAGAGAAGAGAAAGUGUUCUUCAGACCCAGGAGGAGGUGGUGAAUCUCAAAGUUCCACAUUACACCUCAGUCUGGAAGGUUACCUUGGUCACACCUAGCUCUGUUCUUCGCUUCUGAGCCAUCUCUGCUGCCACGUUAAAUUACUGCCUCGUGUCUCUGCUUCAUUAGUGCUGCUGUGCUCCGUGGCAGAGCCCAGUGCAGCUCCCCAGGCAGCAGGGAGAUGUGCUGCAGGCAUUGCUGAUACAGGAGCCUGGCAUCUUUCUGGGUGAAACACGCAGCAGAAAUAUAACAGCUGCGGUGGGAGUGAUUUUUGUGUGAGAUGGGUGUGAGAGAGGUCAGCAUCUUUAGUGAUGCUCUUCAUUACUGAAAACAACCCCUACCCAUGCACACGUGUUGAUCUCUGUUUAAUGUUGGUUCCCUUUUGUGGGGGUUUAGAAAGAGCUGAAUUCCCAGUGGGUUUUUUGGGGUGAUGGAAACAGCCACCUUCUGGGAUGGGCACACGAGUGAUGCUCGCUGUCACCUAAGCAAGUAAUACUUUUCCCCUUGAAAAGCAAAGUACUUACAAGGGUGGUUUUAUGUUAGUAUUACUGCUAGCAAAUCUACCAUUUGUGAGAAAGGAAAUUAUUCCCAUUCCUGCUUUCUAGAUAAGGAAACUCAAAUCACAGGCGUUUGAUACGAAGCAAGGACCUCAGGAGCCCUAAUAUUCCCAGCUGUAACCAGAGCUGAAUUCUGUGGCUCUUGCAAAGUGCAGCUCCAGAUCUGUGCAUCUAUUCAGGGUUU